GGCCGGCCGGGCGGGCGCCGACAAUGAGCCUCCAUAAAAGGGAGCGGCGGGGGCCUGGGGCCCCGGAUUGAGCCCUCCCCACCCGGGGUCCCGACGCGUUCGGUCUCGGGGAGGCCCGGACGCGCCCGUCGCAGGCCGGGCGGUGAGCGGCGGGCGGCGGGGAAGGGGCUGCGCGGGGCGGGAGGCGGCCCCUGGCUGCGCGCCCGGCCUCCAGCGUCCGGUCACCGCGAUACCCCCCCCGCAUACACACCGGCCGCACCAUGGCCCUAAAGGCCGAGGGCGCCGCGCUCGACUGCUUCGAGGUGACGCUCAAAUGCGAGGAAGGGGAGGACGAGGAGGAGGCCAUGGUGGUGGCUGUAAUUCCGCGGCCCGAGCCGAUGCUCAGAGUGGCCCAACAGGAGAAGACCCCAACGCCUAGGCCCAACCUGCUGGAGGCGGGUGGCGAUGGCUGCGAGGAGCCCAAGCAGCAGGUGUCUUGGGAGCAGGAGUUCCUGGUGGGAAACAGCCCAGGAGGCAGCGGGCGGGCACUGUGCAUGGUGUGUGGGGCCGAAAUCCGGUCCCCCUCUGCAGACACGGCGCGCAUGCACAUCCUGGAACAGCAUCCUCACACCCUGGACCUGAGCCCUUCAGAGAAAAGCAACAUCCUGGAGGCCUGGAGUGAGGGGGUGGCCCUUUUGCAAGACAUCAGAGCUGAGCAGACUUCUUCACCCACCUCAGACUCAGGCCAGGAUGUCGAAGCUGACCCGGACUCCGACCCAGACCCUGCCAAAAUGCCAGCAGAGAUUGUCGUUCUCCUUGACUCUGAGGACAACCCAUCUCUCCCGAAAAGGAGCCGGCCCAGGGGACUCCGCCCCCUCGAGCUUCCGGCUGCUCCUGUCUCGGAGCCAGGAAAUAGGAAGCCCCGUGGUCAGAGAUGGAAGGAACCCCCUGGGGAAGAGCCGGUCAGAAAGAAAAGAGGCAGACCCAUGACCAAAAACUUGGACCUGGACCCAGACCCUGACCCAGACCCCCCGUCACCCGACUCACCCACAGAGACUUUUGCUGCUCCUGCUGAGGUCCGACACUUCACUGACGGCAGCUUCCCCCCAGGCUUCGUCCUCCAGCUCUUCUCCCACACCCAGCUCAGGGCCUCAGACAGCAAGGACUCACCCAAAGAGGGGAGAGCUGCAGAAGGAGGCCUUCCCCAGCCGGAAAGCCCCUCUCCAGCAUGUCAUCGGUCUCCUUAAAUCCCCACAACCACCAUACACAGUAUUAGGAUUUCCAUUUUGGAGAAGAGGACACAGCCUCGGAGAGGUAAGGCACCUCUCUCAGGGCCCCUCGCCUAGUAAGCAACAGCCUGUGUGCGUCUCCACCUGUGCCCAUCCCCCUCCAGCAUCCAAGCCGCAUCCUCUGCCUUCUCUCUGCUGCUGGCAAAGCCUGUCGUCCCGCCCCCCCCCCCCCCAACUCCUCUCUGGAGCCCAUCCCGCACCCUGCCGGCCACUCUUCUCUCUGUGCUCUCCUCUUUGUCCACCGUCCGUAUUUCCCUCUCCUCCAGAUCUUACCCGGCAGCCUAUGCAAAGCUGUGAUUUCUCCCUUCUUGACCCCUCAUGCCUCCCUAGCCACUGUCCCAUGUGUCCCCAAGCCUUUUCAGCAAAGCUGGGAGCAUUUUCUACACUAACUGGCCCUCCCCUCUCUGGGAGCCACUUCAGUCCUAUUCCCAUCCUCCCAUCUCAUGCUAAAAUUGCUUUUUUGGCAAGGUCACCUUUGACUUGCCUAAAAUGAAAAUCCAGCAGUCAAUUCUCCGUGCUUGACUUUCCCCAAUGUGACCAUAACUGUGACAUCGCCCCUCCCUCCUUUCUGGAAUCACUCUUGAUCUUGGGGCUCCUCGGGCCACUGGCCGGGUCUCCCUCCAGCUUCACUGGCUGUUCUGUUUCUCCGGCCUGUCCUUUCAUACACGACUCCCUGAAUCAGAUGGGACAGUUCUCUCUCCUCUUUCUUGAGUGUAAGCUGCUUCAGGUCAGGAUGUGUGUCUGUUUCAUUUCCUGUGAUCUCCCCAGCACCUGGCAUAGGGUCCAGGUGCUGCUGUGUUCAGUGAGGGAGCGGUUAAGUGAGGGACUGGAUGCCUCAACCCCGGGGCAAGACCUUCCUCACUCCCGGAGCGAUCCAGUCCAAGUUCAUGUGCUCCCAGCUCCCACCCAGAUUCCCCCUGGUUCCAGCCUCUCUUCCAGAUGCCCAUGUGACAUAUCUGUGGUUGUCCAUAAGAUCUGUCAAACUGGCUUAUCCGAACUGAACCCCCACGUCCCCCCACCCACCCCGAGCCACUCUCCUCCUCCCUAUCCUCCUCUCCCCUUUUCCAUUGUGCACUUUGCUCAGGCUGGGGCAAAGCAUAGCGGACUCUCACUUUCUGUACGUCUUUGCUCACAUACCCGCUCCACGAGGCCCUCCGUGCUAUCUGUCCCCUUCCCUGGUGUGUUUUCUUAUUUCACUUUGUUUCCAUCCAUACGCAACACAUCACAUCUUGUGUCCGUUCAUCCUUUCGGCUCCUGCCACCGGAUCGGGAGUUCCAGGAAGGCCGCGUGGAGUCUGCUCGCCCCUCUCUUAGGGCCCGGUUUUGCCUAUUCUGAGCAGCUGCUCCCCACUGCUGAGGUGGACAUCUGAUCCCCAAGGGCUCCCCCUCCGGGGCUUCGCGGGACACUGGAUCUCCAGGUUAUCCGCGUCCGGAUGGAGGAGCCCCCGGCAGUCAGCCUCCUGCAAGACUGGUCCAAGCAUCCCCAGGGCACCAAGAGUGUGGGAGCAGGUGAUACCCC